rnacentral:rRNA from 1 species
AUUGAACGCUGGCGGCAGGCCUAACACAUGCAAGUCGAACGGUAGCACAGAGAGCUUGCUCUCGGGUGACGAGUGGCGGACGGGUGAGUAAUGUCUGGGAAACUGCCCGAUGGAGGGGGAUAACUACUGGAAACGGUAGCUAAUACCGCAUAACGUCGCAAGACCAAAGUGGGGGACCUUCGGGCCUCACACCAUCGGAUGUGCCCAGAUGGGAUUAGCUAGUAGGUGGGGUAAUGGCUCACCUAGGCGACGAUCCCUAGCUGGUCUGAGAGGAUGACCAGCCACACUGGAACUGAGACACGGUCCAGACUCCUACGGGAGGCAGCAGUGGGGAAUAUUGCACAAUGGGCGCAAGCCUGAUGCAGCCAUGCCGCGUGUAUGAAGAAGGCCUUCGGGUUGUAAAGUACUUUCAGCGGGGAGGAAGGCGGUGAAGUUAAUAACUUCACCGAUUGACGUUACCCGCAGAAGAAGCACCGGCUAACUCCGUGCCAGCAGCAGCCGCAG